CUAAUACAUCAGCUCAGCUCACUUUUUAACAGCACAGAUAGAGAAUUAGCAUGGCCCCUGUGCAAGGACGACAUGAAAAUUUGUGAAGGUUAUUCUAAUUCU
rnacentral:snRNA from 1 species